rnacentral:rRNA from 1 species
CCUACGGGUGGCUGCAGUGAGGAAUAUUGGUCAAUGGACGAGAGUCUGAACCAGCCAAGUAGCGUGAAGGAUGACUGCCCUAUGGGUUGUAAACUUCUUUUAUAUGGGAAUAAAACGUUCCACGUGUGGGAUUUUGUAUGUACCAUAUGAAUAAGGAUCGGCUAACUCCGUGCCAGCAGCCGCGGUAAUACGGAGGAUCCGAGCGUUAUCCGGAUUUAUUGGGUUUAAAGGGAGCGUAGGUGGAUUGUUAAGUCAGUUGUGAAAGUUUGCGGCUCAACCGUAAAAUUGCAGUUGAAACUGGCAGUCUUGAGUACAGUAGAGGUGGGCGGAAUUCGUGGUGUAGCGGUGAAAUGCUGAGAUAUCACGAAGAACUCCGAUUGCGAAGGCAGUUCACUGGACUGCAACUGACACUGAGGCUCGAAAGUGUGGGUAUCAAACAGGAUUAGAGACCCCAGUAGUC